GACAGAGGGUGCAAGCGUUGUUCGGAAUCAUUGGGCGUAAAGCGCACGUAGGCGGUCAUGUAAGUCAGAUGUGAAAGCCCAGGGCUUAACCCUGGAAGUGCAUCUGAUACUGCAUGACUUGAGUCCCGGAGAGGGUGGUGGAAUCCCUGGUGUAGAGGUGAAAUUCGUAGAUAUCAGGAGGAACACCGGUGGCGAAGGCGGGUCUCUGGGCAACAACUGACGCUGAGGAGCGAAAGCGUGGGGAGCGAACAGG
rnacentral:rRNA from 1 species